UUCCCAGUGCAGGCUCGAAUCCAUUCCAUCAUAUCCAACCACUGUUCCUCUAUCAUCAUCCUCAUCGUCAAUUUCAUUCACAUCAUCGCAUUCAUACACAAACUGGGCGGAUUCUGUGCUUUAUUUCCUCCGGAUUAGUUUUUAACCCCACAGAUCUUCGGCUUUCAGGCACCCAUUCACCCGCCUUCCACUCUUGAAGCUUCAUCUUUCCUUGCUUUCCGUACGCCUUAAUUGCCACAGAAUCGAGUCCGGGCGGCUUUGUUGUGGUGGGAUCUGGAAACAGAAGCCUGAUCUUUGUUAUAGGAUCUCACCAAGUGUUUUCCUCCUCGCUUUCAGCAUGUCAAGCGGAUUCGAUAAGGGGUCGGAACAAUUGUUCUACGUUCACUGCAACUGGUGUAACUCUGUCCUCGCGGUGAGCGUUCCUUGCAGCAGCUUGUUCAAGGUUGAUAGUAAGAUGUGGUAAAUGCACCAACCUUCUGUCAGUAAACAUGGCAACGUUGAUUCAGUCUGCGCAGAACCAGAAUAUUAGCCCAUAUGAACAGAACCAGAAUAUCAGCGCAUAUGGGCAGAACCAGAAUAUUAGCUCAUAUGAGCAGAACAGAGGUUUUGCGUCUUCUUCGAUCACUACAUGUAACGAGGGAGGUAUGAUGUCUUCUUCUCCGUCCAUGGCUAAUUAGAAUCGAUACUGACAAAAGAAUAGGAUUAUGUGCUCCAUUCCCUUGAAUUUUGAACUUUUCGUAUGAAUUGACCGGCUCUGGAGA